rnacentral:rRNA from 1 species
UACAGAGGUCUCAAGCGUUGUUCGGAUUCAUUGGGCGUAAAGGGUGCGUAGGCGGCGCGGUAAGUCGGGUGUGAAAUCUCGGAGCUUAACUCCGAAAACUGCAUUCGAUACUGCCGUGCUUGAGGACUGGAGAGGAGACUGGAAUUUACGGUGUAGCAGUGAAAUGCGUAGAUAUCGUAAGGAAGACCAGUGGCGAAGGCGGGUCUCUGGACAGUUCCUGACGCUGAGGCACGAAGGCCAGGGGGAGCAAAACGGGG